ensembl:snRNA U1 U1 spliceosomal RNA
CAAAGCACCUGGCAUAGGAGAUACCACAAUCAAAAAGGUGUUUUUCCCAGGGUGAGGCUUAUCCAUCGCACUCUAGAUGUGCUGAUACCUGUGAUUAUCUCAAAUGUGGGAAACUCAGCUGCAUAAUUUGUGGUAGUGGAGGACUGUGUGUGUGCUUUCCCCUG